rnacentral:rRNA from 1 species
AUUGAACGCUGGCGGCAGGCCUAACACAUGCAAGUCGAGCGGAUGAAGGGAGCUUGCUCCUGGAUUCAGCGGCGGACGGGUGAGUAAUGCCUAGGAAUCUGCCUGGUAGUGGGGGAUAACGUCCGGAAACGGGCGCUAAUACCGCAUACGUCCUGAGGGAGAAAGUGGGGCAUCUUCGGACCUCACGCUAUCAGAUGAGCCUAGGUCGGAUUAGCUAGUUGGUGGGGUAAAGGCCUACCAAGGCGGCGAUCCGUAACUGGUCUGAGAGGAUGAUCAGUCACACUGGAACUGAGACACGGUCCAGACUCCUACGGGAGGCAGCAGUGGGGAAUAUUGGACAAUGGGCGAAAGCCUGAUCCAGCCAUGCCGCGUGUGUGAAGAAGGUCUUCGGAUUGUAAAGCACUUUAAGUUGGGAGGAAGGGCAGUAAGUUAAUACCUUGCUGUUUUGACGUUACCAACAGAAUAAGCACCGGCUAACUUCGUG